rnacentral:lncRNA from 1 species
UCUAACCGAACGUCGCCGGCUGGAAAUCGUCGUCGCCGGUAGCCCAUCUCCAAACCAACCCAAAAAUACACCCGGUAUUCUUCUCCUUCCUCUCAUUCCAAAUCCAAGGUUAAUUUCCUUUGAAUCUUACUAGAAUCCGUCGAAUCUUGAAUCUAAACUUUUCGGCCAAAACUCAACUUCAUCCAAAUAUCUCCAAAAUCACACCAUAGACUCGCCUUACCACCCUCUUCCCAAACCCUCAAUUAGUUUUCCUCAAAUCUUCCUGGGAUGUCUCGAAUAUUAAGUCAAAGUUUGGCCGGCAAACCCUAGUUUCUUUAAACUCAACCAGUAAUACAUAGUCUCCCCACUCUUCUCGUGAGGGAUCCACCAUAGGCGAGGCUCAAAUAUCACCAAGACGGUUCAAUCAAGAAGUCACAGAAUUUGGAUCUGUGUCAGUUGAGUUUGGCUUUUCCUUUUUCUGCUUAAUUCUCUUCUAUUUUCAUAUUUGUUAAUCCUUAGUCGAAUGUGCAUUUUAAUUCCUGUUAAUUUUGUCAUUAAUUAAGAACUAGUUCUGUUCAUCAUUUAGUUUAGUUUGAAUUUACUAAUUGUCUCACUUUGAUUUAGUUGUCAAGAGUAGUUCAUUAAUAGGAUUAAUUAUUCUUUAACUGUUUAAGAUAUUCAAUCUGAUUGCAUAUUGAAUUUAUGAUGGUCAAUUGAUUAGUUGUUUUGAUUAUUGAUGGUAAUUGGUAACUUAAAUUUCAGUAGUUAGUUUGGGGUUGGGAUUUGAAUUUGAACCUGGUUUUAAUUGGCUGAAUGUUUGCUUAACUAUGGUUAGUCAAUAAGGUUAGGGUGAGUUAGUAAUUUCAGGCUAAUGAGAAGGGUAAUUUAGGGAGAUUCAUUUGGGGACUGAAUUUAGAAACUACUAGAAGCUCCUAGAAGGGGUGUUAGUUAAAAGCUCAGAUUUUAAGAGUGUUAACUUGAGAAGCAAGAUAAGAACUAAAGGACUAAACUGAAAAUAAAGAAGGACCAAAAGGAAAAUAAAAAUCCGAUGCACAUCCUCAUCUUUGCCUAUAGAAUGGCACUCACAUGCCUUUGAAUAACAAGUUUUAGAGUCUUAAAAUUCCCCCCAAAAACAGUGUUCUCCAAUUUUUUAUAUCUGAAAACUGAAAUUCAAAAACAAAAACAAUAGAAAACCUUCAAAAUCCAAAAAAAAGUAUUGUUUCAUCAAAAAUUUUAGGCUAGUUUCGACUUUUAGUUAGUGAUUCUCAUCUUCUAGUCCAAUACUUGUUUGCUGAAGUUUCCUCCAAAGUAUACUGCUUUCUCAUCUUCUAGUCCAAUACUUAUUUGCUUAAGUUUCCUCUGAAGUAUACUGCUUGAUUUCGAGUAUUUUUGGUCUACUUAAACUGGUUUUGGUGAAGUUGGGUUGCUAAAGGUUUUAAGGGGUGAUGGGUUCACCUUUGGGUCGAUUUAGUGUUGUUUUUGUAGAUUUGUUGUUUGUGUUUGGAUUUCUAAAACCUUUCUGACAUGUUGAAAGUUUCCGGACUGCAUUUGAUCUCUACAUUUGUGGCUGCUGAUUCCUUCUUCUUCUUCUUCUUAUAUUUCUAAUAUUUAGGUACACUUUCUCGAGUCUGAUUUGAUGUAAUUUUGAAAUGGAAAUACGAUGAAUUGCUCAUUCAUUCGUUCCUGGAAUCCACAUCUGUUUGGAUCAUGAUGCAAUAGUAGUUAAUUAGAUGUUAGAUAAGUGUAUUUUAAUUCUGAUUUGUAUGAACUUAAUCGGACUAUUUUGGACUGUCAAUUUGUGGUUAUCAGCUGUAAUCUUAGAAUUGGCUUAGUGCUAGCUUCAGUUUAGCGUUUGUUUAAAAAUAGAAAAUUAGAAUUGAUCUGGUCUUAUAAUUGAUUUGAGUUCAGUAUGUGAUAUUCGUUUCAAUUUUGAUUUUAAGCUGAAUGUGCAUCUCAAAUAACUUUGUAUUGUAUUAGCUAAUACUGGUAGGUUAUCAGUAGUUUAUUUUAGUUGUUAUGCAAUCAGAUACGAAUAAGGUAUGAAUUCAAGUUAUUAGCUUGUUCAUGUUAGUAUUAAUAAAAUAAUCAAGUUACUUAGUCUAUUCAUUUGAAGAUUAUGUUCACAGACUAUUAUUGACUAAUUCAAUUCACAUUUUUAUUUUGCUUUUCACUUUUAGUAGUAUUUAACGAGUAGCUAAAUAAAUAACGUAACCUAAGCUUUAAACUGGCGUUCAAGCCAUCACUGUCUCGCCGAUCUGAGUAAAAUAGCUUGAGGUAACUUCAAUAGACAUUUGGUUUGAUUAAAUUGAGGCUACGUUUACCAAUCAGCCUCAUUGUAGGCCACUUGGGCCUGAGUGCAUUAAACAGGCGGCCCAGGUAUUUAUUUGGACAUGGGCCCAGGCCUGUGACUGGUUUGCCUUUGUGCAUACUUGGGAUUUUUGGUUUUAAAACGGACUGUGUCCAAGGCCCCAAAUGGUUGAAGAUUGGGAUUUGUAUGAACCCAUAGGCCCCAUUAUUAUAGUUCUCAAAUAAUAUUAAUUAACUAGGACUCUUUCUUUUAUUUUAGAGAUAAUAAAAAUAGAAAAAUCAUAGUUGCUUUAAGGUUUGCCUUUUAAAUAAUAAAAGAGAUGAGCCUCGCCAAACAAAAUGUAUAGAUUGCGGGGCCCUCAAUAAAUGUUUGUGAUAAAAUUUUUAGAAUUCGGGAUUGACCGUUUAGCCAAUUUCACAGCCUUCCCAAAAGAUAAUAACGCAUUAGUCUCUUUAGGUAUAUAUUUUAAUAAGUACUUUCUUAAACUCGGGUGCGCAUUUAUGUGACCCAAAUUUAAAUCUCAACGAAGUCGAAAUGUGUCAAAUAUCUCGGGUGUAUUUAUAUCACGUGGUUCGAGACGUGUUUCCGCGACGUUGCAAUUCUCAUUUAAGAUAAAUAAUAAAAGCAAUUUAAAAAGUAAAAAGCACACAAGCUAAAACAUGUUUUGAAAUCAAUUAAAUCCAAAUAUAGCAGUUGAGCGACCGUGCUAGAACCACGAAAUUUGGUAAUGCCUAACACCUUCUCCCGAGUUAACAGAAUUCCUUACUCAGAUUUCUGGUUCACGGACUAUCAACAGAGUCAUAUUUUCCUCGGUUUGGGAUUCAACCAGUGACUUGGGACACCAUUAAUCUCCCAAGUGGUGACUCUGAAUUUUAAUAACAAAUCUCGUUCUAAUUUUCCUUUAAUUGAAAAAACUCCUUUAUGCCCUUGGGGGUGCAGUGAAAAAAGGAGGUGUGACAAAUGUAAUAAGGCCAAUAGCCAUUGGUAACUUUUCUUUCUUUCUUAUUUAGUGUCGUUUUGAUAUUUUUCUACUUUUCUCAAUAAAAUGAGGCAUUUAGCAUUCU